rnacentral:misc_RNA from 1 species
UAAUCUCACCCCCGGAACCUUUUGUUUCGGGAGUGGACUUGGACGCUGCCGUGUAUGCGGCUCGUCUGGAAUGUCUCAGUGUACCCCGCCGUUGGCGUAGACAGUGUGAUAAGUAUCUUCACUGAUCGAGUCUCUUCGGAGACGCGCCCUCUGGAUCAUGGAUGUGUGCUGCAAACCGUCUUCGGACAAACUUGUCGACG